CCGAGCACACCUGUGUAUCACGACGCUGCGUGCCCUGCAGGCACACCUAGUCCGGUGAGGGAAAGGGCAAGGACAGCCCCCAGCAACCAGUGCCACCAGUGGGACAGUUCACAGAGGCCCACCACGUGUGAAAUACCAACAACAGCUACCAGCAAGCUCUUAACUGUCUCCACUGUGUAGCCUUGGAGAAGUUACUUAACUCUCACGGCCUCAGUUUCCUCCUCUGCGAAACGGGUUGCUGUGAGGAUUCAAUAAGAAAUGUGCUUAGGGGAGGCCAGGAGCUGUAUAAACAGCAGGUAAGUAGGAGACUUUACUGCGCCGAGCAGGGCACUCUUUAACCCUCACGACCAGCAUGAUGUGGGGAUCAGUGAUGUUUCCACUUUACAGAGGAGUAAACAGGACAAAGAGGGAACAACUGCUUUUGCCCAGGGACACCGACUGGUAAAGAGUAAACGGUGACACUGGCUUUUGAGCCCCAGCAGUCUAACCCAAAUCUGUGCUCUCAAGCCAGACUGAACCCAAAGGAUGAGGACUGGCCAGAAGGAGGUGUGUGGGUGGUCCCAGCUCUGCCAUUUACUGCCUGGGGGACUUCCAGCAAGUCCCUGGACCUAUGGGAGCCUCAGUGUCCCCAUCUGAAGAAAUGUGACAACUCUUGUCUUCUAAGGUUGUGCUGACAAUAAUGGCCCGAAACUGGGUCACCCAUAGGACUGCUUUCUCCGGUGUUCUAGGCCAUGUUCCCUUUGUCCUGCUGGCCGAGGCGGGGCUGGGUCUCCGAGAGGCUGCUGUCACAAGGAACAUUCCAGAUGUCAUUGGUCUCCUACGGCUCCAGGACUGAUGCGGGAAGUUGGGUGCGACGCACGAAGAAGACCAGAUUGAGGGUUCGGGGCCCACCAACCUGUCACAGAUACUGCCUGGGCCCGAGGGUGAGACUGUAAGCCCUCUGAGGAGAAACAAAGCUGCUGUGAACAUUCGCCGAGAUGCCGGCGCAGGUGUGCCGGUGUCCUGAACAAUUCCAGCACUCGAUCUGAUCCUUACGACAUCAUUUUCCAGGAGGGGAAACUGAGUCUCCGAGAGGUCAAGCGCCACAACCAAGGAACACAGGGCUCUCAGGUUUCCAUAUUAUGUUUUGAGGACCAGUCUUUCUCACCCGUAGAAGAGGAAACAGUCACUUGUUAUUGUGAAAGAAACAAGUGUUUGCAAAGAUCUUAGCUCUGGACCUAGUUCAUACUAAAUCUUCAAAGAAAUAAAGAUGAAAGUAUAUCAGAUAAAAGUGUAACUCACUCAAGCCCCUACCCCAGUUGUAACGCUCACACUCUUUCUGCCUCCCUAAGAGAACAGGGCAGACUGCAAGAGCCCUGCCCACUCCUCCCAGAGGCCAGGAGGGCACAGGGCAGCUGGCAGGUAAACCUUCACCCAUAUGCCGGCCACCCUUUUCCUAGUAGCUCUGACUGCCACUGACUUUUCCACCAGGUGCUACCUAGCCCAGCUGUUGACCACAUGGACAUCUGGAUCCCAGGAAGGGAUCAGCCCACACUCUCUCCCACAUUACUACAGGAUUAAGACACGCCAAGGCACCUGCCCAAGGCCCGUGUGGCCAGGAUGGCUGCCCUGCGGAGUGGGAAGGAAGCU